AAUGGGGCGAGGGACUACCUCGUUGUGCCAAAUCACCUGUUGGGCCUUGGUGACGUGGUGUGCUCCAAAGUUGGGUCGUACUUCAAAGCUUUCUCGAACCAAGACGAACGCUGUCAGCGUCAAAUUGGAAGCUGCCUGGAGCUGCAGCCGUUGGACAUGUGGUCCCAAGACGACGAGCUUCGGUCUCAGGGAAAAAGGAGCGAGUACUUGUUGGAGGGCUUCGCGGACCCCACCGAUGAGCCCAUUCUUGUGAACGAGAAGACCAGGCGGCGCUACCUGACGCUCCGCUACGCGGGCCCUCCUCACCUCAGCGUCGCCUUUCUCGAAAUCAGCGCCGAC